rnacentral:misc_RNA from 1 species
GAUGAAGAACGUAGCGAAAUGCGAUAAGUAAUGUGAAUUGCAGAAUUCCGUGAAUCAUCGAAUCUUUGAACGCACAUUGCGCCCUCUGGUAUUCCGGGGGGCAUGCCUGUCCGAGCGUCAUUUGCAACCCUCAAGCCCGGCUUGUGUGAUGGGUGCCGUCCCCUACGGGACGCGCCCCGAAGGCAAUGGCGGCGUCGCGGUUAUCCGAUCAGCCAGUGUAUGGGGCUUUGUCACUCACUUUACGGCCCGGACCGGCGCCAGUCCGAAUCAAUCUUUUUUCUAAAGUUGACCUCGGAUCAGGUAGGGAUACCCGCUGAACUUAAGCAUAUCAAUAAGCGA